CGAGUCGGUCGGAUAGUCGCUGCUUUUUUAAAAAAGGAGAGGAAAGUCCGGACUCCGCAGGGUGGCGUGCCGGAUAACGUCCGGGCAGUGUGAACUGACAGCCAGUGCAGCAGAAAGCAAACCGCCCGACCACUCAAUGGAGUGCUUGCACGUCAUUGAGUGGUCGGGUAAGGGUGAAAGGGUGCGGUAAGAGCGCACCGCGUCGGUGGCAACAUGCGACGGCAGGGUAAACCUCACGCGGAGCAAGACCAAAUAGGCAUGUAUCGGCCUUGGCCGAAACGGUGACCCGCCGUACAUGCGGGUAGGUUGCUGGAGCCGAACAGAAUCCGGCUUAUAGACCGACUCGCUUU
rnacentral:RNase_P_RNA from 1 species